rnacentral:rRNA from 1 species
CCUACGGGAGGCUGCAGUGGGGAAUAUUGGGCAAUGGGGGCAACUCUGACCCAGCAACGCCGCGUGAAGGAAGAAGGCUUUAGGGUUGUAAACUUCUGUUGUGAGGGACGAAAAAAGUGACGGUACCUUAGAAGAAAGCCACGGCUAACUACGUGCCAGCAGCCGCGGUAAGACGUAGGGGGCAAGCGUUGUUCGGAUUUACUGGGUGUAAAGGGAGUGUAGGCGGGAGAGCAAGUCAGAUGUGAAAACCUAGGGCUCAACCCUAGACAUGCAUUUGAAACUGUUUUUCUAGAGUGCUGGAGAGGUAAGUGGAAUUCCGAGUGUAGCGGUGAAAUGCGUAGAUAUUAGGAGGAACACCAGUGGCGAAGGCGGAUUACUGGACCAUAACUGACGCUGAGGCGCGAAAGCGUGGGGAGCAAACAGGAUUAGAUACCCGAGUAGUC